UUGAUUGUAAGCCUGUUCUGUACAUGAGGAGUGGUAUAAAAGCUUCCACUUCACAGUUCUGGCAGCACAGUUCGCCCAAUCGUAAAACCCUAAAACGCCAUGAACUAGCGCAUGAAGCAAACGAGAGGAAAGAUCUGCCCUUUAUCUUGUUUAUAUUCCGGAAUCUAUCAUCUGUUCGAAUCGAUUCCAAGUUCGCAUCUUUAGAGGUUCCAACUCUCGCUUUAGCUCUACUUUAGCACGCCGCGGAGUCACUUUUCAUGUCUGACUUAGAGGGAAUGGAACAAUUUUGGCCCGCAUCCUCUUGAUCUAAACUGGAGGGAUGGUCGGAGAUAUGCCAUGAGGAAGGAAGGGCCUUCCCACACCAGGUACGCGAACUCUUCCGUUUCCUUCCCAAUAUAUUUAAGGAGCAGGGCUUUAGUGUUGAUGGUAAAGAGGCGGAGGGAAGCUCGAUUAUUAUUUUUGACUCUGGAGACGUUUGUGUUUUGGUUUAGCCUUCGAGACAAGGCAAUAAAAGAUGAAAGUUUAGUUAUUUUUUAUGAUUUUGUAAUGGCUUCUUCAUUUAAAGAUCUUUCCAUAUUGAAACACCAUGGUUUCUAGUUGAAGAAGCACUCUAUGUAACCGUGAAAUCUUUAUUAUUCCUUGUUUUGCACAGAACAAACCCCAAAAUUAGUAGUUCUGUGCCCUCUGGUAUCAAAACUGAAGUUUUGUUUGCAAUAACCUUGCAUAAAUAAACUAAAUCCAGCACAAAUAUUAGCGAGUGAUCUUCUUGUUAGCUCUGCAUUUCUUUUUUUUUUGUACCCUACAAAAAAUUGAGGAAAUUUGUGCACAGAAGUUAUAUUUUGGGAUUUCUAAUAAAACAUAUAGUUCUGAGCUUAA